rnacentral:rRNA from 1 species
GACAGAGGGUGCAAACGUUGCUCGGAAUCACUGGGCGUAAAGGGCGUGUAGGCGGGAAGGAAAGUCAGAUGUGAAAUCCCUGGGCUCAACCCAGGAACUGCAUUUGAAACUCCCUUUCUUGAGUGUCGGAGAGGAAAGUGGAAUUCCUGGUGUAGAGGUGAAAUGCGCAGAUAUCAGGAAGAACACCCGUGGCGAAGGCGGCUCGCUGGGACGGUACUGACGCUGAGACGCGAAAGCGUGGGGAGCGAACAGG